rnacentral:rRNA from 2 species
GGGGGAUAUUGCGCAAUGGGGGCAACCCUGACGCAGCAACGCCGCGUGAAGGAUGAAGGUUUUCGGAUUGUAAACUUCUUUUAUUAAGGACGAAAAAUGACGGUACUUAAUGAAUAAGCUCCGGCUAACUACGUGCCAGCAGCCGCGGUAAUACGUAGGGAGCAAGCGUUGUCCGGAUUUACUGGGUGUAAAGGGUGCGUAGGCGGCUUUGCAAGUCAGAUGUGAAAUCUAUGGGCUCAACCCAUAAACUGCAUUUGAAACUGUAGAGCUUGAGUGAAGUAGAGGCAGGCGGAAUUCCCCGUGUAGCGGUGAAGUGCGUAGAGAUGGGGAGGAACACCAGUGGCGAAGGCGGCCUGCUGGGCUUUAACUGACGCUGAGGCACGAAAGCGUGGGUAGCAAACAGGAUUAGAUACCCUGGUAGUCCACGCUGUAAACGAUGAUUACUAGGUGUGGGGGGUCUGACCCCUUCCGUGCCGGAGUUAACACAAUAAGUAAUCCACCUGGGGAGUACGGCCGCAAGGUUGAAACUCAAAGGAAUUGACGGGGGCCCGCACAAGCAGUGGAGUAUGUGGUUUAAUUCGAAGCAACGCGAAGAACCUUACCAGGUCUUGACAUCCAACUAACGAAGUAGAGAUACAUUAGGUGCCCUUCGGGGAAAGUUGAGACAGGUGGUGCAUGGUUGUCGUCAGCUCGUGUCGUGAGAUGUUGGGUUAAGUCCCGCAACGAGCGCAACCCUUGCUAUUAGUUGCUACGCAAGAGCACUCUAAUAGGACUGCCGUUGACAAAACGGAGGAAGGUGGGGACGACGUCAAAUCAUCAUGCCCCUUAUGACCUGGGCUACACACGUACUACAAUGGAUGUUAACAGAGGGAAGCAAGACAGCGAUGUGGAGCAAACCCCUAAAAACAUUCUCAGUUCAGAUUGCAGGCUGCAACCCGCCUGCAUGAAGAUGGAAUUGCUAGUAAUCGCGGAUCAGCAUGCCGCGGUGAAUACGUUCCCG